GCCGCGGUGGUCGAGCUGGUUAAGUCAGUGGAUUCCACCAAACAACCCCCUUCCACCGUUGCGCCCUAUACCUGGGUUCAAUUCCCAGGCCCAGCA